GGAGGGAUGGCAGAGCGGCCUAUUGCGGCGGUCUUGAAAACCGUUGUGGGCUUGCCCACCGGGGGUUCGAAUCCCUCUCCCUCCG
rnacentral:tRNA from 1 species